UGCUUAUCCAGAAAGACGGAGGGAUCGGGCCCGAUGAUGUCUUAGCAACCUGAGCAACGUGCUUGGUGGUGCUAACUCCCUUGCCAACUGCAUGUUGGCAGAAGAUGAGCG
rnacentral:ncRNA from 2 species